GUAGAGGACGUAGCUAAUUUAACCGCAAGUGAUGUGAUGAACCGAGUAAAUCUAGGAUAUUUGCAAGAGGGUACUUACAUGACAGAGGGUACUGCAGGUACUCACUGGCAUCUGAGCAUUGAUAUAAGAUAUGAUGAGUGAGGGCUUUUGAUUCCAGGAUGUUUGGACAGAGUGGAGUAGAAAGCAUUCAGUCUUUGUUGGAAGGGUCCAUCUAGAGCAGGUAUUUAGGCAUACACUUGUUAGUCUGCUUGUACUGAUUUACAGCUUUUUAAAUUCUUUUUAACGGGGUGAUACUGGGAGAAGUAUUUGAGUUUCCCAUUGGUGUAAUUGGUUAAUUUGCAUAUGACUAUUGACUCCUCCCAAUCCCACACUACUAAUGUUUUUUGCUUCACUCUGAUUGGUCAAGC